AACAAGGUGAGUCAGCUUCACAGACUGUCAGCUCAGAGUGAAUCGUGUAGUGAGUCCUCUGUUGCUCCUGUGAAAUGGGAACAACAUAUCUUACAUCUUCUCCAAUUCGGAUCUAAACCAGCUCAAAUGAUGGGGCUGAGCAACUCUUUGUUUGAAUAUGUUUUAUCUCAUGUGUUUUCUUUGUCAUACACUGGUAAACAUAUUUACUUCUGCCUUAACGUGGAAAGGUCUUCCGUUUCUAUCAAUUAUCAGACUAAAAAGCAGCCAUGGUAAUUGCUUUUGAUGGUUCGUCAAGUUUAGAGUGUUUCUAACUCUUGAUCUUGCAUUUCUUAACAAUUGUUCCGCUUCUGCUGUUGAAAAGUUGUUUCCUCCCUAUAUUGGUAGAAGAAAUAAUUAUAAACUUCUUUA